rnacentral:tmRNA from 1 species
GGGGGCGCAAUGGUUUCGACGGGGGCAUUUAAGCAGGAUAAGCGAGUAGCGGUGGGCGCCGCUAUAAAAGCCCAAAAAAUAAUUAAACGCUAACGAUAAUUUAGCUUACGCUGCCUAAUUAGGCGGCCGUUCUUACCGGGAGUACCACAGCCCGGAUAAGGGCGUCAUUCAGUGGUGAACGUGAGGCGCGUAAGCUUUGCCGCGCCCAUGAAAAAUGAAGCUACUAAAACCCGAAGCUUGUUUGUGUGCUUCGGGCGGAGGGAAUGUUGAACACAAACUACACUCGUAGAAAGUCUUGUGGCGUGCUUUCGGACGGGGGUUCGACUCCCCCCGCCUCCACCA